rnacentral:lncRNA from 1 species
AUAAGUAAUUAAUCAAGCAAAUAAACAACAGACCGAAAUGAGGUAUAUAUAUGCGAUAAACAGACCAAAAAAAAAAAAAAAAACAGAUAUUUCCCGUGAGAUAUUUGUGAGUUGAUCUUGGAAAAGAAAUGGUAACAGAUCACAAGAUCAGAGUUGGUGGUGAUCAUGAGGACGAGGAUACUGACGCAUGUGCAUGGCACGGCAUAAUUAACCAAAAAAAAUGUUAAUUUUGUAUUAAUUAUUUAUUGAAAGGUCCGAAUAAGACUGUGUUAUGUUAGUUUAAUUUUAAGAGAUCUUUCAAAAUUAGACCGUAAAUUACACCAAUAGAAAACAGUCGUAUUUGGUAAUUAAUUAAUACCAAUUAACUUUUGUUUUGGUUUAUUUUGUGUUAGUAUAAUUUGAUAACGUUGGACUUGGUUUGAUUAAAUUUUGUUGAAAACAUCAAAUCCUGAAACCCCGUGUUCUGAAAAUACGGUUGUCAUUCAUUAGAAGAAUCCAAUUCGGCUACAUGUUGCUAAAUUGUUUUUAUCUCAGGAAUCGAAAUUUUUUAAUUUGCUACAGACGGUGACAGGUUACCUCACCUGACACGUGUACGCACGUGUUACUUGUUAAAGAAAAAGUGAUUUGGAAUCGAAGGCAUGUGAUCACUGUGUCAGUUUCUUGUUACUGUAUAUUCAAACAAUUUAAGCAAUGUAUCUUUUCCAGGAAUUAAUUCGGAAAAUGUGGCGUAAUUCGAUACAUGCACAUAAGAGUAUGCUCUUUGAUUUAUAUAUUCUGAACUUUCUUGUACUGAUUCAAAUUGAGGUAGCAAUGAAACCAGAAAUGAGGCAUCAUGUCUCGAGUACGUUAUGAAAGUCCCAUGGAUUGUUGAACCAAUUUUUGGGUUUUUUUUUAGUGCUGAAAAUGGCAUUCAAGCAACCAGUUUGGGCUUACUUUAAUUAUUUUCUUAAUACAAUGACGAUUCUCAAUCAAUCACAUUUACUAGAAAAAUCGAACAAUUCUUGAAUGUGAGGGACCAUUGGACGAUGCUUAAUUAAUUUAUGUGAUUUUAAUUUGUUGACAGCGGUUCUAGCUCCAUAUCGAUGGAGCCCAUCCGUUGUGAUGUACGUAGCCGCUGUCAUCUUCUUAGGUGAUGUUUGGUUGGGAGAAGAGAAUGGGAAAAAGGAAAGUAAUUUAAAUUCUAUUUUUAUUUUCAUUGUUUGGUUAC